rnacentral:lncRNA from 1 species
GAUGGAUCAAGCAGAGCUCCAGAGCCCACUGAUGUUGAUCUUGGCCAUGCGACAUGAAUCGGCUGGUGAGAUACUGGCAGUCAUGAUGUGAACCGAGGCUUGCAUAGUGGGGCUUCCUCUUUGUGUUUUUGCAUUGCCGUGAGAGGAACAUGCUCUGCCUUGCUUGCUGGUCCGAGUAGGGUAACAGACAUAAGAGCAGACCUGGACCUAACCUGAAGUUUGAAGACAAGCCUCGCCAAGACAGUGUAAAUCAGCAGAUCCCCCCAGCCUGCUUUCAGAUGUUUGAAUGAGAAUAAAGGAUUGCCAC